rnacentral:rRNA from 1 species
CCUAACACAUGCAAGUCGAACGGUAACAGGAAACAGCUUGCUGUUUCGCUGACGAGUGGCGGACGGGUGAGUAAUGUCUGGGAAACUGCCUGAUGGAGGGGGAUAACUACUGGAAACGGUAGCUAAUACCGCAUAACGUCGCAAGACCAAAGAGGGGGACCCUCGGGCCUCUUGCCAUCGGAUGUGCCCAGAUGGGAUUAGCUUGUUGGUGGGGUAACGGCUCACCAAGGCGACGAUCCCUAGCUGGUCUGAGAGGAUGACCAGCCACACUGGAACUGAGACACGGUCCAGACUCCUACGGGAGGCAGCAGUGGGGAAUAUUGCACAAUGGGCGCAAGCCUGAUGCAGCCAUGCCGCGUGUAUGAAGAAGGCCUUCGGGUUGUAAAGACCUUUCAGCGGGGAGGAAGGGAGUAAAGUUAAUACCUUUGCUCAUUGACGUUACCCGCAGAAGAAGCACCGGCUAACUCCGUGCCAGCGGCCGCGGUAAUA